CCUACGGUGGGCUGCAGUGGGGGAUAUUGCACAUUGGGGGAAACCCUGCUGCAGCGACGCCGCGUGUGGGAAGACGGUCCUCUGGAUUGUAAACCACUGUCCCCAGGGACGAAGAUGACGGUACCUGGGGAGGAAGCUCCGGCUAACUACGUGCCAGCAGCCGCGGUAAUACGUAGGGAGCAAGCGUUGUCCGGAAUUACUGGGUGUAAAGGGAGCGUAGGCGGGAUGGCAAGUUGGGUGUUAAAUCUACCGGCUCAACUGGUAGUCGCACUCAAAACUGCUAUUCUUGAGUGAAGUAGAGGCAGGCGGAAUGCCUAGUGUAGCGGUGAAAUGCGUAGAUAUUAGGAGGAACACCAGUGGCGAAGGCGGCCUGCUGGGCUUUUACUGACGCUGAGGCUCGAAAGUGUGGGGAGCAAACAGGAUUAGAUACCCUAGUAGUC
rnacentral:rRNA from 1 species